rnacentral:misc_RNA from 1 species
UCCGGUUUGUCACCGGCAGUCUCCCAUGAGUCCCCAACUGAAUGCUGGCAACUAAGGACAAGGGUUGCGCUCGUUGCGGGACUUAACCCAACAUCUCACGACACGAGCUGACGACAGCCAUGCAGCACCUGUGUUCUGGUUUCCGAAGGCACUCCCUGAUCUCUCAAGGAUUCCAGACAUGUCAAGGCCAGGUAAGGUUCUGCGCGUUGCAUCGAAUUAAACCACAUACUCCACCGCUUGUGCGGGCCCCCGUCAAUUCCUUUGAGUUUCAGUCUUGCGACCGUACUCCCCAGGCGGAGUGCUUAAUGUGUUGACUUCGGCACAGCAGGGGUCGAUACCCGCUACACCAAGCACUCAUCGUUUACGGCGUGGACUAC